GUAUUUCAUUUCUGUUACUUGUCAUUACCAGUUAAAAGUUGUUUUUUUUUUUUUUUUCUUUUUUUUUUUUAAUGUAUGCAUGCUAAGACGAAGCAGACACGGACAGAUGAAGAUAUUGCCCGCAGAAAUACAGCUUCUUGGUGAUAAGUUCCAUUUGUUUAACUAAAUUUAAGAUCACUUCUGAGUUUUUCCUAGGUGGAUUGAGCUGGUGUACAUUUGCAAAUGUUAGCUAACACGUGGAAUGCUAACGUUAGCCGCUGUAACACGAAACUGACUUACUAGCUAGUUAUCUAACAACUGUAGGCACUGGAUAUACAGUAUGGUUGCUUAAAGUCUAGGUAGUGGCAUUUUGUCUCUUAACACAACUAUAAAAACAUUGUGCAACGUAUUGGCAGAAAGAAUAAUUUGUCAGUAUAGCAUGUACACCAUUAACAUACUUUUUUUUUUUUUUUUUAUUAAAAUGAAGUUGUGAUUUUUUUCCCUCAACAAUUUGGCCUAAUUGUAAUGAAGUAAAUGUUCUUUCAAUAGUUUGAAAAACACCACAUUAUGACCAUACAAUUACUUCAUCUUGAGCUGUCCAGCCACCUCGGUAGCACUUGUUGAUUAGUGUUUAUAUUCCUUCAAGUUUUACAACUUUAUUGCCUGUUUGAUUGUGGGUACAAAGAUUAAACUGUAAAAAGGGCUGAGAAGGUUUUGAUUAUAUUACCCACCAGGUACAUUGUGCUGUCAUUGUUAAAAAGAAAACACUAAUCAUCAUUUGCCUGCCUGUUUUUUUUUCAGUAUUUUAUUGUGAAAUAUUAGUUAAUUUGUUGUUUUCAGAUCAGCUGCUGUUUCAAUAGAAGACAAUUUGAAAUCAGAUCAGAGAGACGAGCAAAGAAGAGAGUGAGUAUUGUAUGGUGACGACAGACAAGAGGAUAAAAACGGACACUUAUGUCAAGCAUGAUGAGGAUUUAAAAGCUUUGAAAUACCCUGUGAUGAAGAAAUUUUCAAAGACCACAGUGUCUGAAUUACAUGCCCCCAGAUGCAGAAAAUGCAACAAGUCGUACUCAAAGAAAAGUGAGCCUCCACUUGAAGAUGACGAUGGUGACAUUUCAAGUUUUUCGUUUCUUUGUUUAGUUCAGCCAUUUGCAGGCU